rnacentral:rRNA from 1 species
UCCUACGGGAGGCAGCAGUGGGGAAUCUUGCGCAAUGGGCGAAAGCCUGACGCAGCAACGCCGCGUGCGGGAAGAAGGCCCUCGGGUUGUAAACCGCUUUCAGAAGGAACGAAAAUGACGGUACUUUCAGAAGAAGGUGCGGCCAACUACGUGCCAGCAGCCGCGGUGACACGUAGGCACCAAGCGUUGUCCGGAUUUAUUGGGCGUAAAGAGCUCGUAGGCGGUUCGGUAAGUCGGGUGUGAAAACUUUGGGCUCAACCCAAAGCCUGCAUCCGAUACUGCUGUGACUAGAGCUCGGUAGGGGAGCGGGGAAUUCCUAGUGUAGCGGUGAAAUGCGCAGAUAUUAGGAGGCACACCGGUGGCGAAGGCGCCGCUCUGGGCCGAAACUGACGCUGAGGAGCGAAAGUUAGGGGAGCAAACGGGAUUAGAUACCCCGGUAGUCCUAGCCGUAAACGAUGGACACUAGGUGUUGGUGGUAUCAACCCCACCAGUGCCGAAGCUAACGCAUUAAGUGUCCCGCCUGGGGAGUACGGCCGCAAGGCUAAAACUCAAAGGAAUUGACGGGGCCCCGCACGAGCAGCGGAGCGUGGGGUUUAAUUCGAUGCAACGCGAAGAACCUACCAGGGCUUGACAUGACCAGGAAUCCGGGGAAACGUGGCGCCCCCGCAAGGGCUGGCCACAGGUUGUUGCAUGGGCGUCGUCAGCUCGUGUCGUGAGAUGUUGGGUUAAGUCCAGCAACGAGCGCAACCCUUUUUUUAUGUUGCCAGCGGGUAAUGCCGGGGACUCGUAGAAAACUGCCGGGGUCAACUCGGAGGAAGGUGGGGACGAGGUCAAGUCAUCAUGCCCCUUAUGUCCAGGUCUGCAAACAUGCUACAAUGGCAGGUACAACGGGCUGCUAUACCGUGAGGUUGAGCGAAUCCCAUAAAGCCUGUCUCAGUUCGGAUUGGAGUCUGCAACUCGACUCCAUGAAGCUGGAGUCGCUAGUAAUCCCGGAUCAGCAACGCCGGGGUGAAUACGUUCCCGGGCCUUGUACACACCGCCAU